rnacentral:rRNA from 1 species
AGUGAACGCUGGCGGUGGGCCUAACACAUGCAAGUCGAACGGCAGCACAGUAAGAGCUUGCUCUUACGGGUGGCGAGUGGCGGACGGGUGAGGAAUACAUCGGAAUCUACUUUUUCGUGGGGGAUAACGUAGGGAAACUUACGCUAAUACUGCAUACGACCUACGGGUGAAAGCAGGGGAUCUUCGGACCUUGCGCGAUUGAAUGAGCCGAUGUCGGAUUAGCUAGUUGGCGGGGUAAAGGCCCACCAAGGCGACGAUCCGUAGCUGGUCUGAGAGGAUGAUCAGCCACACUGGAACUGAGACACGGUCCAGACUCCUACGGGAGGCAGCAGUGGGGAAUAUUGGACAAUGGGCGAAAGCCUGAUCCAGCCAUACCGCGUGAGUGAAGAAGGCCUUCGGGUUGUAAAGCCCUGUUGUUGGGAAAGAAAAGCAGCAGGUUAAUACCCCGCUGUUCUGACGGUACCCAAAGAAUAAGCACCGGCUAACUUCGUG